rnacentral:misc_RNA from 1 species
AACUCUUUAUAUGGAUUCAAUUCACAAACUGAUUAGUUUAUUGUUGAAUCUAACAAUUAGAACCAUCUUUUUCACAAUCUUGAAAGUUCAUACACAUCCAGGUAGAGAGGUGAAUAAAUUCAAUGGGACACGAAGAAUAAUGUCAUUGACCCCUUCGGCAUUUAGGUCAUUUGUUACUUUAUAGUACAUCUUGCUUCAUUGUUAUCAUUCUUCUGUGAAUUCAGAACUCUUUAACUAGUCCGAUUUGUGCCUUUGACGCUUAAAGAGGCAGUAGAAUGUUGACAGCAACCAUUGCCAAAUGCGGAUUACCAAAUUUGCGUGCUUAGGUUUUGGCUGUGGUGGUGGUCCGAAAAUUCCCUUGUAUAUCUCCUUUUGUUUUUGAUAUACAGCCUUUUCAUGUUGAGCUAUCAAACGCAUCUCCCUCGCAAUUGCCUUGUCUUCAGGUGCAAAUUUACGUGCCUUUUGAAAAUCUUCACGGGCAGCAUCUGUUUGCCCAAGUUCUGCUCUAGCCUUUCCUCUUCUGAACAAUGCUUUGACAUUGUUUUCAUCCUCUCCUAAUACAAU